AUCUUCACCCUCCAACUUGGUAUGUUUUUCCUCAUAUUUUCCUCCCAUCAUCGUCCAAUCACUGACAUCAACCAUGCUGUCAACUCACUUGAUGAUCCUUCUAGUACUUCUUCCAUCGUUGUCUUCCCUUUGAUCAUUCCUUCAAUAUAUUUCAACAGUGUUUCUGGUUGCUGUUGUUGCUUCUCAGCCUGUACUCCUAACCUCUCAAUACUCUUCGCCAAAGAUGACACGUUUUCCUUGAUUGUUGGCAGAUCAUGUAAUUCUGCUCGAAUGCCGGAUAUUUCUUGAUCUACCAUUUCCAACUUUUCCUCAAUUCGCUUUUGAGCCAUGAUAUAGAACUUCACAGAUUCGAU
rnacentral:lncRNA from 1 species